rnacentral:rRNA from 1 species
UACGUAGGGCGCAAGCGUUGUCCGGAAUUAUUGGGCGUAAAGAGCUCGUAGGCUGUCAGUCGCGUCUGCUGUGAAAACCCGAGGCUCAACCUCGGGCCUGCAGUGGGUACGGGCUGACUAGAGUGCGGUAGGGGAGACUGGAAUUCCUGGUGUAGCGGUGGAAUGCGCAGAUAUCAGGAGGAACACCGAUGGCGAAGGCAGGUCUCUGGGCCGCAACUGACGCUGAGGAGCGAAAGCAUGGGGAGCGAACAGG